AGCGAACGCUGGCGGCAGGCCUAACACAUGCCAGUCGAACGAACUCUUCGGAGUUAGUGGCGGACGGGUGAGUAACACGUGGGAACGUGCCUUUUGGUUCGGAAUAACUCAGGGAAACUUGUGCUAAUACCGAAUGUGCCCUUCGGGGGAAAGAUUUAUCGCCAUUAGAGCGGCCCGCGUCUGAUUAGCUAGUUGGUGAGGUAACGGCUCACCAAGGCGACGAUCAGUAGCUGGUCUGAGAGGAUGACCAGCCACACUGGGACUGAGACACGGCCCAGACUCCUACGGGAGGCAGCAGUGGGGAAUCUUGCGCAAUGGGCGAAAGCCUGACGCAGCCAUGCCGCGUGAAUGAUGAAGGCCUUAGGAUUGUAAAAUUCUUUCACCGGGGACGAUAAUGACGGUACCCGGAGAAGAAGCCCCGGCUAACUUCGUG
rnacentral:rRNA from 1 species